UACGGGGGGGGCAAGCGUUGUUCGGAUUUAUUGGGCGUAAAGAGCGUGUAGGCGGCCAUGCAGGUCCGUUGUGAAAACUCGAGGCUCAACCUCGAGACGCCGGUGGAAACCGUGUGGCUAGAGUCCGGAAGAGGAGAGUGGAAUUCCUGGUGUAGCGGUGAAAUGCGCAGAUAUCAGGAAGAACACCCGUGGCGAAGGCGGCUCUCUGGGACGUGACUGACGCUGAGACGCGAAAGCGUGGGGAGCAAACAGG
rnacentral:rRNA from 1 species